rnacentral:rRNA from 1 species
UCCUGGCUCAGGAUGAACGCUAGCGGCAGGCUUAACACAUGCAAGUCGAGGGGUAUAUGUCUUCGGAUAUAGAGACCGGCGCACGGGUGCGUAACGCGUAUGCAAUCUACCUUUUACAGAGGGAUAGCCCAGAGAAAUUUGGAUUAAUACCUCAUAGUAUAGUGACUCGGCAUCGAGAUACUAUUAAAGUCACAACGGUAAAAGAUGAGCAUGCGUCCCAUUAGCUAGUUGGUAAGGUAACGGCUUACCAAGGCUACGAUGGGUAGGGGUCCUGAGAGGGAGAUCCCCCACACUGGUACUGAGACACGGACCAGACUCCUACGGGAGGCAGCAGUGAGGAAUAUUGGACAAUGGGCGCAAGCCUGAUCCAGCCAUGCCGCGUGCAGGAUGACGGUCCUAUGGAUUGUAAACUGCUUUUGUACGAGAAGAAACACUCCUNCGUGNAGGAGCUUGACGGUAUCGUAAGAAUAAGGAUCGGCUAACUCCGUGCCAGCAGCCGCGGUAAUACGGAGGAUCCAAGCGUUAUCCGGAAUCAUUGGGUUUAAAGGGUCCGUAGGCGGUUUAGUAAGUCAGUGGUGAAAGCCCAUCGCUCAACGGUGGAACGGCCAUUGAUACUGCUAAACUUGAAUUAUUAGGAAGUAACUAGAAUAUGUAGUGUAGCGGUGAAAUGCUUAGAGAUUACAUGGAAUACCAAUUGCGAAGGCAGGUUACUACUAAUGGAUUGACGCUGAUGGACGAAAGCGUGGGUAGCGAACAGGAUUAGAUACCCUGGUAGUCCACGCCGUAAACGAUGGAUACUAGCUGUGGAAGCAAUUUCAGUGGCUAAGCGAAAGUG